rnacentral:rRNA from 1 species
UGCGUAGGCGGUUUAAUAAGUCAGAGGUGAAAGCCCGCAGCUCAACUGUGGAAUGGCCUUUGAUACUGUUAGACUUGAAUCAGGUUGAGGUUGGCGGAAUGUGGCAUGUAGCGGUGAAAUGCAUAGAUAUACCAUAGAACACCAAUUGCGAAGGCAGCUGACUAGACCUGUAUUGACGCUGAGGCACGAAAGCGUGGGGAGCGAACAGGAUUAGAUACCCUGGUAGUCC